AAAAGAAAAGUUGCGGAAUAGUCCCAAAAUUUCAAUAUCUUCUACAAAUUAGCCGGAUUGACUUGAAGUGAAGUGGGUAGAUCGGAUCAACACAACAAAGCACACUAUCCAGAUCAAUUCGGUAGCUUUUGUUUUAUGUUUGAAGAUUUAUAUGGCAUGUAUAGAGUUUGAAUGAAUUGAAGUAAAGAUGUUAUAAACUAGUUAACAAUAUUUGUACUAAAAUAGUUUUCGGUAAGUAGCAGUAGUUUGACUUUGAAAAAAUCACUAAAAAUAGUAGAAAUGGAAUUAAAUAAUGAAUAAAUUAUGGAAUCGAAUCUCGAUGAGUGUAUUUUCA